UACAGAGGGUGCAAGCGUUGUUCGGAAUUAUUGGGCGUAAAGGGCGCGUAGGCGGUGCUGUAAGUCUGUGGUGAAAUCUCUGGCUCAACUCAGAGUCUGCCAUAGAAACUGCAGUGCUGGAGUGUGGGAGAGGUGAGUGGAAUUCCCGGUGUAGCGGUGAAAUGCGUAGAUAGUCGGGAGGAACACCUGUGGCGAAAGCGGCUCACUGGACCACACUGACGCUGAUGCGCGAAAGCUAGGGGAGCAAACAGG
rnacentral:rRNA from 1 species